CGGCGGGCUGCCGCGGCGGCGAUCUGCGCGGUGGCGGCGAUCGCGGGGAUGUCGUACGCGGUGUCCUCGACGCGGGUCGCGUCCGCGCCCGCCGG
rnacentral:tRNA from 1 species